rnacentral:rRNA from 1 species
AGCAGCCGCGGUAAUUCCAGCUCCAAUAGCGUAUAUUAAAGUUGUUGCAGUUAAAAAGCUCGUAGUUGAAUUUCGGGGUCAGCAGGUUGGUCGUGCCGAUGGUAUGUACUGGUCUUGCUGAUUCCUCCCUCUUGCAGAACCGUAAUGCCAUUAAGUUGGUGUUGUGGGGAAACAGGACUGUUACUUUGAAAAAUUAGAGUGUUUAAAGCAGACUAACGCCUGAAUACAUUAGCAUGGAAUAAUGAAAUAGGACGAUCGAUCCUAUUUUGUUGGUUUCUAGGAUUGACGUAAUGAUUAAUGGGGAUAGUUGGGGGCAUUAGUAUUCAAUUGUCAGAGGUGAAAUUCUUGGAUUUAUUGAAGACUAACUACUGCGAAAGCAUUUGCCAAGGAUGUUUUCAUUAAUCAAGAACGAAAGUUAGGGGAUCGAAGACGAUCAGAUACCGUCGUAGUCUUAACCAUAAACUAUGCCGACUAGGGACCGGAUGAUGUUAAUUUUUUAAUGACUCAUUCGGCGCCUUAC